GGGGGGGGGGACACACAUUUUACCACUUUGGAAGUGUCUCUCGCGCAAACUAUUCAUUUUAGAAAAAAAUUAUAUUAGAAACCUCAAUAUCAUUUUUGAAGACCUAUCCAUAGAUACCCCACACGUAUGGGUUUGAUGAAAAAAGAUUUUUUGAGUUUCAGUUCUAAGUAUGGGGAACCCCCAAAAUUUAUUGUUUUUUUUUCUAUUUUUGUGUGAACAUCUUAAUGCGGUUCAUAGAAUACAUCCACUUACUAAGUUUGAACAGUAUAGCUCUUAUAGUUUUGGAAAAAAGUGGCUGUGACAGAAUCGGACAGACAGACGGACAUGACGAAUCUAUAAGGGUUCCGUUUUUUGCCAUUUGGCUACGGAACCCUAAAAACCUUAAAUAGGUGGUGCUACAAUACCUAGAGUACUUGAACAAAAAAUCAAAUCAUAGACAGCGCACUUCACUCCGUCAAUAACGCCGAGGUUCUUAGCACGUAGUGAUUAUAUGCUCUUUGGUUCUUAGCUACUCUAGCGCUACUGUGGAGAUAUUUGGAACUAUUAUUUAUAGGCACUUAUGCAACAGUUCUACCAUAAGAGAUGUCACUCCUCUUAAUUCCACACUCCAUAGUAUGUCUUAUGAGUCUUGCGGAAAGAGAAGAGACGUAGAAUGUAUAGGAUGACUUACAUAUCUAUUGAUUACGAAAAAUAACUCUUUGGCCUUUGGAUUGCACUAACUGUCGCCCACUGUCGCCCCUAUAGAUGUUUUACUGGCCCUAUGAAAACUGCUAGAAAAAAUAAAAAUAAAUGACAAGUGUCAGUGUUAUUGAAAUUAGAAGAAUACAAAAUCAUUCAGUCAAACGUAAAAACAUUACAAAAAAGUUUCUCAAAACCUAUAAAAUGGAAUUUCAGAAUGCUUAAAAUUAUGAGUCAAGAAAAAUCCACCAUAUGACAAAACAAAACGAAAUUAACUAAAGCAUAUUAUGGAGUAACAUAUAUUGCUAGCGAUGUCGCCCGCUAUCCACCCGCCCUGCACCCCGAGCGCAUCAUGUGCUCCCCCGCGAUGCCAUCCGUCGCUACCCCAGUGUUCCAGGCCGGAAGACUGUUUGAGGAAAACCACAUUAGCAGGCAUACGACCCUGUCGAAGCGCCGCUUCUAUCAUGGCUACAAGGUCCAGGACGUCAUGUGGCUCGUGUGAUAAAUUUAAAGGACAAAAUAUCUCGAAUCCUAGAAAAGCAUCGUUAAUUCAAAAGUACCUUAAUAGAAAGUCUCGGGAAUCAAGAAUGAUAAAUAAAGAUAGGCUGGAAGGGACGAAUCGUUAUUCGGAAUAUAAGAGAAGACAAGGGCGCCAACGAUCGCAGGAGGAAUGUUGUGCAGGGAAAGGUCACCGAGGCAGAUUGCGGCAGUCUACCGAACGGCGCCGGCAGCCCUUCUGCCGGCGCUGCUGCGCGGCGUGGUGCUGCCGCUGCUGCCGGGAGUGCUGCCAGCCGUGCUGUGAUAAGUGCUGCAUUCCGUGCUGCGCCGCGUGUUGGUAUGGCUGCUGCGUGAAAUGCUGGCGUCGCUACUGUCGUUGCAUAAAAUGCACAAUAAUCUGACGUCCAAAUCCCGAUUUGAUUUAAGACACUCCAUGAUCCAUGACAAAAAGUGGUCGUGCAUAUUUAUGAUAAAAUAUAUCUGAUAAUUUAAUCUGAUAUAUUAUAAAAAUCAAUAUAUACAUAUAUAUUGUGCACUUAUCAGGAAGUUUUCGCGGCACAUAUUUUUAACUUUUUGUGCCAAUAGCAUCUUUGACAAAUUUCACUCGCUCUCUACUACAAAAUCAAAAUUGUAGGUAAUCAUAUGUACAUAAUAUAUUGAUAAGCUGUUUUGCGCAUUGAAUAAUAUAAUUUUACUAAAAAUGCGUUAGUUAACUGAUUUCUCUACUCGGUGCAGUCCAUGCUGUAAAAGUAGUUUUUAUAAUAUAAUAAGUUUUCAGAGCAUGGACAGCACUGAGUCAAGUCGAGACAUCAGUUAACUAAUGUGUUAUGCAUCAGGUAAUAACGGAGGCCCUUACCUACAGCCCCAAAUUGAGAUAAAUAAUAUCAUGUUAUCAUCUAGUGUAAAUAGAUUAGAUAAUCUAAUAAAGAAUAAAACGGCUCGUCUAUAAUAUAAAAAAUAUACCUAUUAUUUAAAGGUAGAAGAGCAGCACAAUCUGUCAGAAGACGCUAUACAAAAGAUGACAAAUAUGUUGAAAUAUGUAAUGCGAACAAAUAAUAUGAUUGCUUGUUUUUUAAACGUUAUAAGUAAAAGUAACGGAUUAAAAAAAAAACAACUAGCUGUACAAAAUCAUCCACAACAACUUUUUAAGUGGACAAUCUGCAUGAAGCCUAAACCCCUAUUUUGAUAGAAAUAAGUGUUCCUUUAAAUAUGCGUCGUGUGCAACGUGUGUCUAUUAAUAAAUUUCAUAUCUCAUA